UACGUAGGGUGCGAGCGUUAAUCGGAAUUACUGGGCGUAAAGCGUGCGCAGGCGGUUUCACAAGCUCGAUGUGAAAGCCCCGGGCUUAACCUGGGAAUGGCAUUGAGGACUGUGGAACUCGAGUGCGGCAGAGGGAGGUGGAAUUCCACGUGUAGCAGUGAAAUGCGUAGAGAUGUGGAGGAACACCGAUGGCGAAGGCAGCCUCCUGGGCCGACACUGACGCUCAUGCACGAAAGCGUGGGAGCAACAGGA
rnacentral:rRNA from 1 species